UAAUUAGUUUUUAGAGCAUAAUUUAACUAAAAAAAAAUAUGUAUCGUAGUAUUAUUUAGGUUUCAUUAAAAUUUUUUAUUGUCGCUGUGGUCUCUUUUCUUCCACAAGUCCACAACACUGUUUCACGCUUUAAUUUCUCGUUUUCGUCUGCUUUGGUUUCUGAAUUUAGUUGAUUUAGUUACUGAAAAAAAGGUCUCAAUCAAAAUCAAACCAGUCAAUUCAGUAAAAUAAUGAAAUAAAAAGAUAAUUUUCUCUAACGAUAAACCUUCACAAGAAUCCUAAUUACCAGAUUCACGAUUGAAAUGGAUGCAUUGAGAAAAAUUGUAAGACCCGUGUGCAGCAACCUGCAACAACUCUUUAUGUUUUCACCUGCUGUUUUCCCUGUGACAGUGUCAAGAACAUUUAGUGCAUUAUCAAUGAGAAUUCCCCAAACUCUGAAUGUGCAAAAUCAACUGUUAACUCCUACUGUUCCUUCACUAGUUCCUAGUUGUGGAUUCAAAGUUGUGGGGAAACCGAUGAAACGUUGCAAAGACUGCUACAAAGUGGUGAGACAGGGAAGGGUUCAUAUCAUUUGUAAAACUAAACCAAGGCAUAAACAAAUGUCAAUGAAGAAAGAUGAAGACAAAACCUGGAUACUUACAUCUGCAACAAUGGGGCCUAAGCGUCUUUGGUAGUUUUGUCAUCAUUAUGUACUAGUUAUCAAUACAAUUCUGCAGGAAACUAGAAA